rnacentral:rRNA from 1 species
AACGAACGCUGGCGGCAUGCCUAACACAUGCAAGUCGAACGAGAUCUUCGGGUCUAGUGGCGCACGGGUGCGUAACGCGUGGGAAUCUGCCCUUUGGUUCGGAAUAACAGUUGGAGACGACUGCUAAUACCGGAUGAUGACGAAAGUCCAAAGAUUUAUCGCCAGGGGAUGAGCCCGCGUAGGAUUAGCUAGUUGGUGUGGUAAAGGCGCACCAAGGCGACGAUCCUUAGCUGGUCUGAGAGGAUGAUCAGCCACACUGGGACUGAGACACGGCCCAGACUCCUACGGGAGGCAGCAGUGGGGAAUAUUGGACAAUGGGCGAAAGCCUGAUCCAGCAAUGCCGCGUGAGUGAUGAAGGCUUUAGGGUUGUAAAGCUCUUUUACCCGGGAUGAUAAUGACAGUACCGGGAGAAUAAGCUCCGGCUAACUCCGUGCCAGCCGCCGCGGUAA